rnacentral:sRNA from 1 species
GAAAGGUCCUGGUACCAUCUUCCCCAGAAACGAUCAAGAAGGGCAAUGGGUUGACAGCCCAGAUAUGGCAGGACCAGACUGCAAUGGAACUCUUUGUUUUUUAGGAAUCUCAUACAGCCCAUUCAGACUAAAGGGUGAUGGAAAGAGGCAGAGGAAAGCAGAAACAGCAAGAGUGACUGAGACCUGCUGUCAUCUAUAUAGAAGCCUUUUCUGAUACAUGUCAGAGAGUGACAUGAAGUCUCCCCUCUUUAUACAGAAGUAUGAAAAUACAUCUAUCCCUCAUUUUGAGAGCCUCCAACUGAUCCAAGUGUCAUCCGGACGAGGAGGUGGCCCGUAUGUGCAGGACCUCAGGGUGCCAGCCCUCACCCAUACACCUCCAGGGCUGCAGGUCAUUAGCCAGAAUAAAGGAUGUCCACAUUCACAA